GGUCCCAAAGGAGGCAUUGAAGCCAGUUGAUGACAGAAAGGUCGGGAAGAGAAAGGCUGCCACUAAGGCAAAUAAGGGUGGCAAAAGUCAAGCCAAGAAGGGAAAGUUGGCUAAGAAAGACCCCAACAAGCCUAAGAGGCCUCCCAGUGCCUUGUUUGUAUUUCUCGAGGAGUUCAGAAAGACCUUCA